GAUGAACGCUGGCGGCGUGCUUAACACAUGCAAGUCGAACGAAGCAUUUAAGACAGAUUACUUCGGUUUGAAGUCUUUUAUAACUGAGUGGCGGACGGGAGAGUAACGCGUGGGUAACCUGCCUCAUACAGGGGGAUAGCAGCUGGAAACGGCUGGUAAUACCGCAUAAGCGCACAGUACCACAUGGUACAGUGUGAAAAACUCCGGUGGUAUGAGAUGGACCCGCGUCUGAUUAGCUUGUUGGCGGGGUAACGGCCCACCAAGGCGACGAUCAGUAGCCGACCUGAGAGGGUGACCGGCCACAUUGGGACUGAGACACGGCCCAGACUCCUACGGGAAGCAGCAGUGGGGAAUAUUGCACAAUGGAGGAAACUCUGAUGCAGCGACGCCGCGUGAGUGAAGAAGUAGUUCGCUAUGUAAAGCUCUAUCAGCAGGGAAGAUAGUGACGGUACCUGACUAAGAAGCUCCGGCUAAAUACGUG
rnacentral:rRNA from 1 species